GCCUCUGUGGCUUAGCCCGGUAUAGCGGCUGACUUGUAAUCAGCAGGUCGCGAGUUCAAAUCUCGCCGGAGGCU
rfam:Tncultured methanogenic archaeon RC-I complete genome